UACGUAGGGGGCAAGCGUUGUCCGGAAUCAUUGGGCGUAAAGAGCGUGUAGGCGGCCAGAAAAGUCCGCUGUGAAAACUCGAGGCUCAACCUCGAGACGCCGAUGGAAACCAUCUGGCUAGAGUCCGGAAGAGGAGAGUGGAAUUCCUGGUGUAGCGGUGAAAUGCGCAGAUAUCAGGAAGAACACCCGUGGCUAAGGCGGCUCUCUAGUACGGUACUGACGCUGAGACGCGAAAGCGUGGGGAGCGAACAGG
rnacentral:rRNA from 1 species